GAGGCCUCACGCAACAGCCCGUGUCGACAUGCAGUUCGAGCAGGCGCAACGCCGGCCGAUGCACGAUCGAGGCGUCAAACGGCAGGGCGAACGCGCGACGCAUGUCCCGGAGCGCCGCCGCCAGCGCCGUGCCAUCGCGCGCAUAGCCCUCGGGCACGCCGUUGACCUGGACCUGCGUGAGCGUGCGCCGCUGAGUGCGCGUGGCACCGAGAAUGGGCACGAGUCCCACGCCAUCGUCAUCAUCACCACCAUCUCUGUCGCCUCUAUUGCAUCGCUCCCGGCCGUCGUCAUCGUCGAUGGCGCCGGUGGUUGUUGCGGCGGUUGUACCGUCGUCGUCGUCGCUGCCGCCUCCCAGGGCGCGACGAUCAACAAAGGCAGCGGCACGCCGCACGCACGCCACCGCAUGGUCGCGAUCGUGACCCACGCGCACAUGGGCCGCCAAGGCCAGGUUGCUGACGAGGCCACACGAGGCGCCCUCGGGCGUCUCCACGGGACACAGGAGGCCGGCAACGCUGUCGCGCAACUGUCUCACCUUGGGCAGCCGGCCCUCCUUGUUGAUGGGCGUAUUGACGCGGCGCAUAUUGGACAGGGCCGACGUCACGGUCAUGCGGUUGUGCAUCUGGGCGACGCCGGUCGACGCCGACGCGGCGCCCUUUUGCACCGUCCAGUUGCCGGUCAUGAGCGCGUAGCGGAGCAUGGCCGUCACGCGACGGUAGUCGAGGAUAUUUUCCACCUCGAUCGGCAGGCUGUGAGUCGCGCGGCGGCGCAUGUAGGUGCCCGCCCCCUUGCACAGGCUGCGAAAGAGUGGACGAAACAGCGUGGGCAACAGGACGGCGGCCGUGUCGAUGCGCUUGAGGGCCAUGUGAUCGCGGUCGUCCAUCGGCAGCCGCCCGAGCGACACGGCCAGCAGCCGGUGCACGCAAUAGCCCAAAUGGUGGGCCUUGCGCAGGUAGGUCUCGCGCGUGCGAUCAAGACCGACAUGGGGCAGAAAUUCGUUGCCCAUAAUGUGUUCGACAAAGCGCACGCGCUCCUCGCGCGCCGUCGGCCUCUGCGCGGGCUCGCCGGUGCCGUCGCGUCCGGUGCCACCGCGCGUCCCCACCGAGCCCAGCCACUCGCACAGAGCCUGGCGCGACCAUCCCGCGUGGUCGUCCUGAUCAAAGACGGCGCGCACGGCCCGCUCCAGUCGCGCGUCCGACUCGGGAUCGAGCGCGCACAUGUGGUCCAUGACGGCGGCGACCAUGUCCUCGCGCGCCGUCACGCCCAAGAGGCGAAAGACGUCGGCCACGGGCACGUUGGCCUCGACAAAGGGCAUGCGCACCUCGACGUGGGGCCGCGCCGCCGCCAGGUACACGUAGAGGGUCGACGUGCUGCGGAUCUUGGACUCGUGUCGCGGGCGUAUCUCGCACACGUGUGAGUAUUUGCUGUUGGGCCGGCCGGCCAUGACGCACGCGUGGUUGAUGCGCAUCUUGAUCUGCGACACGAGCAUCUUGGCGCUGCCGCGCACGAUGAACGCGCCGGGCCGUUCGAGCGGGCACUCGCCGGCCAGGUAGGGCGACCCGCGCAGGCGACAAUAGCGGCUGCCCACCAUGCACGGGAUCUGGCACAGGACGGCCUCCUUGGAGCGCUCGGUGCGACACAGGGGCAGGCCCGUGCAGUCGCCGCCGCGCUCCUUGAGCCGCUCCUUGGUGAUGCCGGUGAUGUCAAACACCGUGUAGAGCAGAUCGCACGUGACCGUGCACGCGUAGACGAGGCCGCGCAUGCGGCACUCGCGCGGAUAGACCGGGCGCACGACGCCGUCGGCCUCGCGCACCGACGGCCGGUGCACGGUGACGGCGCCGAACUCGAGCACGAACCGCCGGCGCGCCGGUUCAGAGUCGACGACGACGCGGUUGUUCUCGGCCACGAUGGCCGGCAUGUAGACGUCCAUAAACUUGUCGAAACCGUCAACCUGGUGGCGGGUGAGGCCGCGCGCGUGCACCAACGCCGCGGCGAGCGCGAGUCUCGUGGGCCGAUCGACCUCGGCGACGAGGCCGGCGAGCGCGUCGGGGUCCACCACCGUGGCGUUGACAAAGCGCUCAUAGUGCCAGUGUGCCGGUGCGCCCGCCGCCUCGACCUGCGGUCGCGUCUCGGCGACGAUCGCCUCGGGAUGCCGAUGCGGGUUGCCAUAGCCGUCGAGAGCCUUUGGGUCGCGCGUAUGUGUGUCACACCGUUGACGUUUUUGUUGUCGUUGUCGUCGUCGCCUUGUGCGGCGGUCACAGUCGUCAUUGUCAUUGCUAUCGACACUGACAUCGCCGUCACCUCUGACAGCGUCGUCGUAAGGGGCAUCACAGGGGGCGGUGUCGCUCGCAUCAUUAAAAGGACCGUAUCCGCGGCCGUUCUCG
rnacentral:lncRNA from 1 species